CGGACUGUUUUCUUUUAAAACAACACACGCUUGAUAAGCGUGGGGUCACAAGUUCAAGUCUUGUCAGACCCACCA
rnacentral:tRNA from 1 species